rnacentral:rRNA from 1 species
UACGAAGGGGGCUAGCGUUGCUCGGAAUCACUGGGCGUAAAGCGCACGUAGGCGGAUUUCCAAGUCAGUGGUGAAAGCCCGGAGCUCAACUCCGGAACUGCCAUUGAAACUGGCGAACUUGAGUACGAGAGAGGUGAGUGGAAUUCCCAGUGUAGAGGUGAAAUUCGUAGAUAUUGGGAAGAACACCGGUGGCGAAGGCGGCUCACUGGCUCGUAACUGACGCUCAGGCGCGACAGCGUGGGGAUCAAACAGG